CACCCCAGCCUGGGCGACAGAGCAAAACCCUGUCUCCAAAAGAAGAGAGAAAAGGAGAAGACACAGAGACCGUAGAGAAAGCCAUGCAAAGACAGAGGCCAAGAAGGAAGUGAUGGGCAGCCACCAGCUGAGAGACACCUGGAGUCACCAGCAGCUGGAGGAAAGGAGGCUGCUCCCCUCACACCUUUGGAGUCUGGCUCCACCAGCGCCUCGGUUACAAACUUCUGACCUCCAGAACCAUAGGAGAAGAUGUUUCUGCUGCUUUCAUCCACCCGGCUGGUGGAAUUUGUUGCGGCAGGCCCAGGAGCUCCUGCAGCCACCUCACCUGCAGAACAGGGACAGCAGCGGCCGCCCUCACGAAGCCAUGCCCAGGUCGCGGUGAAGGCGACCUGGCUUCCUGGCACGUGCUGAGUGCUCAGAUAGUGGUGGUGGCUUCAGGUCAGAUUUUUGCAUCAGACAAGUCCAGUUUCCAGUCCGUAAUUCCUGGCUGUGGGACCCCCAGGGAUGUAUUUGCUCUCAAAAGCCACAGCCACCUCACCGGAGGAAAAGCAGGCAAGUGUCCACCCUGUGGGUUUUCUUCGGCGUUUAAUGGAAAGUUCUUUCCAUUGCCCGUGCAACGUGCCUGUCAUUUUGCAUGACGGGUAAUGCCCAGACCACUGACUUCAGUACCCUAGGCCGUCCCUGAAGGGAGGGUAAUUCAUGUGGCCUCUUUUCUGGGUGGAAAGCUGUUGAAAAUGGAGGUUCGUGGGAUUGUGGUGUACACCCGGCAUGGAUGUGUAUCAUCGCAACUGGGUCUUUGACAAACCUGUAAACGGGGUUGCAGCUUAAGGUGGCCACCCUGUGAGACUGUGCCCUAUGCCAGGGACACUCAGAAGGGCCUGUCUGACAACAAAUGCCAGGGGCAUUUAUGAGCCACAUUUUUAAAAGCAGCAACAAAUAAAGAUUCCCAAAGCCCACGCCCCCCACCGGCUAGGACUGCCUCUGAUGUCCACGGCAACAUUCACAGCUAAGCUUGGUCACUGGGGACAUGUCUUUGCUCAAAAACAGCAAGGUACAUUUUUAAUACUAAUGACAUCAAAACGAAUCUUAAAGCCACUAUAAAUAAAGCAUUGUAGGGCCAAUGCAACAACAGACAGAAGCAAAUCAAUGAAGCCAACUGGCCCAUCCAGAAACAGCCGCGGGUCUGUGGAAUCUCAGAAUGUCAUCAUAGGGCAUUUCAGUUCAGUGAGGAAAGGAGUCAUUUAAUACAUGGUGUCAGGACAAACUGGCCAAGCUUUUGGAAAUAACACAAUUCCAGAAACCUUAGGGUUCUAAAUUUGUUAAACUGUGUUUUAAUUGUUAUUGUAUCAGCUGAAAAUAUGAGAAACUUGCAUCCGUAUCUGUAUUUGCAGGAAGCGUCUUGAGAACACAGCAAGAACUCGGAAGCCAUAAAGGAGAAUGUUGACUUGCCUGACCUCAUGAACCUGUUGGAAACAGAAGACAAAUGGUACCCUAGGAGAAACCAUUGGCAAUGUGUAAGACAGAAAGAUUGUGUCCACAAUAUAUAAAAAACUUCUGCAAAUCAAUAAGGAAAAGGCAAACCACCCAGAAGAUGGAUGAGCAAGGAAUAUAGACAGGCACUUCGUAAAGGGAAACAUAAAAGCAGCAGCUGGAAGCCUCUAGAAAGAGCAGCAGAAGGAGCCAGUGAGCUUGAGAGUGAUCAUCUGGAGUGACCUCCAAGAGACCUCCCACCUCACAAGUGAUCGUAGCAUCACAAAUUAAAGCAGGAGACAGCAUUUUGUUGUGAUCUGGGUGAAACAUGAAAAUGUGUAAUUCUUUGUCCACAGUGUAGAGAAGGGGCAGGCAUUCACUGUUGGUAGUAAUGUUGGCAUGUUUUUGGAGGGUAGUGAGGCAGGAUUUAUUUAAAUGGUAAAUGCCUAUGCCGUUUGACCAAACAAUUCCACUUUUAGGAAUCUAUUCUACAGAGCUAUUUCCAUAAGUAUUUAAGGCUGUAGCUACAAGGAUACACGUGGCACCAUUGCUUCUAACAGCAACAAAUGGGGAACAGCAUAAAUGUCCCAUGGGCAUGGGGUUGGCUGGAUACAUCCCAGUAAAUAUGUACACACAACACAGAACAAUUCUGCUAUGAAACGUGGUAGAGUAGACCUCUAUUGACUGACAUGGGAGGGUAGUCAUGACUCACUGCUGAGUGAGAAAGACAUAUAAGAAAACAUCAGGCUGGGCGCCGUGGCUCACACCUGUAAUCCCAGCACUUUGGGAGGCUGAGGUGGGCAGAUCACAAGGUCAGGAGAUCGAGACCAUCCUGGCUAACACGGUGAAACUGUGUUAAAAUACACAAAAACAGUAGGUGUGGCAGCAGGCACCUGUAGUCCCAGCUGCUGGGGAGGCUGAGGCAGGAGAAUGGCAUGAACCCGGGAGGUAGAGCUUGCAGUGUGCCGAGAUCGCACCACUGCACUCCAGCCUGGGUGACAAGGCAACGUUCCGUCUAUUAAAAAAAAAAAAAUCAGGUACGAUCAGUGGUGUUUUAUUAAACAAAAUGUUUAAAUUGUGCUUACAGACAUAAAAUUGUGGAAAAGAGAUCAAAUUCUUUGCAGGAAAGCAUCUUAGUGGAAGUUGGAGGGUUGGAGAGAGUGGCUUUGGUUGUUUGCCUAUGUGUGAGUGAGUUGGGGAGAAUGAAUUUGGUGUGUGGACCUAUGUGUGAGUGAGUCACGGAGAGUCGCUUUGGUGUGUGGGCCUGUGUGUGACUGAGCUGGGAAGAAUUGCUUUGAUUGUGUGUCUAUGUGUGAGUGUGUCUGUGUGUGUGUUGUGUUGCUUUUCAGUGUUAUUCAACUCUUAUAAAAAUGUCUGUAUUUUCUAAGAAAGAAAUAGUUAUCACUUUGAAAAUAUGAUCCAUGAUUCUGUUUUAAAACUAUAUAUAUAUAUGUCCAUGUUGUAACAUUUUUUAAAAAGACCAUCUGCAGAGCAAGAUGCUAUAGUAAUUAUCCUAGAACGAAGAAAUCAAUUCUUUUUUGUGUGUGCUUAACUGUAUAUUGUCAGUUUUUGCAAUGGAAAUGCAUUAUGUUUGUAAUCAUAAAAGAACACACUUACUGGAUGAAGAGGGAGGACCCUGAUAUGUGUACUGAGAAGACAGCAUGGGCCCGUGCAUCCGACCACGCGAUUGGUGUCACGUGCUUGACCAGCUGUUUAUCAGCUUUGCCCCUCCACUUGCAGGGUGGCUGAGCGCAGAUGCUCCAGGUGAGGUCAUGCCCAGCCUGUCAUCAGAUAGCACAUCAGCAUAAAUGCAGUAUCACUUCAGGGCUAUGAGAUCUCAGAGGGAGGGGAAAGGGUGAACUAGACAAUCAAGAGGGGCUUCCUGAAGGAGGUGGCAAUCAAACUGUAUCAGCUGGAGCUGGGCAGGACGUAGAUGGCAUCUUGAGUAAAAGAAGCAACUGGACUCUAGGGAAGAGAAGAGGAGGGCCCAGGUGCCACGGCCCCUACAAGACGAGACUAGGGGACUGGAGGACCAGACUGGAAGAUGGCCGACCCCUUUGCCAUGAGCACAUGCAAUGUGGGGCCAGUUCUUAGUGACAUUUCAGAUGGUGGCCAGUCAGAGGACAGCAGGACGUGGUGGUCGUCUACUUGCUGCCACAGAGGACACAGUGGGCCCAGCACCCCAGCCACAUGUGAUGGAGCCUCCAGGCCUGCCCAGCACCUACUGCCCUGGGACAGGCUCUCUUUCAAGUCAGCUCCUCUGUCCAUGAAGCAUCUGAGAGGCCCUGUGGUCCUGGCCGAGGAGGCAGGCCAUAAGGAGGGCAGGCCCGAGGACCCAGGUGUGGGCACACUCCGUGUGGAGUGGUCUCUGAGUCCAGACCUGCAGUGCCUGUUUCCUGUGCCCUGGGGACCUGGAGAACAGAGGACCGAUGGGCACUGCAGCAGGGCGGAGCAGGCCUGAGCCCAGCUCGAGGAAAGCUUGCCUUCUCGUCUGGUAUCCCCGUGUUUUACAUAAUUAGAAAUGUGUGUGUGAAAAAUUUUUAAGCAGUUGAAAAGAGCAGGGGUGUGGUGGGAAGAAUUAUUAAACAACAACAAAAAAAUCAAUCCUCGGUUUGGCCUGGCCAGAUGAGCGUUUCUCGGCUCAGGUUACCACUGGCAAUGGCCCCGCUGGUGGCUCUGUUCCUGCUUCAUUCGGGUUGCUCUUCUCCAGCCUCCCACCGUCCCCUCGUCACGGCUCUCCCAGCACCUCCUCAGCACCUUUCCAGCCUCUACCUGAUGCCCACUUCGAAAACCAGGCCAAAGUUCAGGUCUCGGAAGAAACCAUCACACCAAGGUCAUUUCUGAGCGCAGCGUGGAAGCUCCUAUGUUUGCAGG